rnacentral:lncRNA from 1 species
AGGUGUUCAGCUAUCCUCACCGCUAUCUGGUCCUCGAUCUCACUCCGUUGUUUCUGAUGGGAAGCAGUACAGUUAUACCUGGGCACCAGGGGCAGCCUGACAGAGGCUGAGAGGCUGCUGGCCGCCAGCUUGGCCAUCACGGCCGGCACCGUCCUCCUCUCUGCCCACUUCCUGCUUUGGCAGACCCUGGUGUCGUGGGCGGACUGGGCCCUCAGCGCCACACUCCUGGAGCUCCACGGCCUGGAGGCCAUCUUGCAGGUGGUCGCCAUCGCUGCCUUCGCCAGG